rnacentral:pre_miRNA from 1 species
GGGGGGAGUGCCGGAUCCUGGGCUGUGUCCCCGGUGCCGUUUUCUCCCGGGCUUUCGCUGUUGGAUUCCCGCUCCCAGGGCCACGCAGCCCGUU